GUGGUUGGGCAGGUUGUGCACUAAGUAUAGGGUCGGCGGUUCGAUUCCCGGCCCACGUGACUCCACAUACCAAAGUGUCGUUGGGCAAGACACUGAACCCCAAGUUGCUCCCCAUGGCAAGUUAGCACCUUGCAUGGCAGCUCUGCUACCAUUCACAAUUACAAUCGGCUUGUAGCUACGUGUGUCGCGAAAGUAUAUAACAAACAUGAUCAUAAACACAAAUUUAUCCCACUGCACAUGCAAAUUAGCGCUUGUUAUUUUGUAUUUUAAUGACUCGGGGUGUACAUUUUGCAUCGGUUUGUUUGGGAUGUGCGACGGUUGGUCACUUGUACAAAACCUUUCUUUAUGCAUCACUUACGAACACUUCACCGUGAGCGGAAAAUCAAAUGGGAUCUUUGUGUGCGGCGUCUUUAUUCGUUUUCCCACAUCUACUCUUUCAUCGCAGUCUCACUCUCCUGCUGCUUUUUGUCGUAUUAAAAUGUUCAGUCUCAGACAGAUGUGUGUGUGUGUGUGUGUGUGUGUGUGUGUGUGCGUAUGCAUUCACCGUUCAGCGUUCAGCAUGAUCAGUUUGAAGAUGACUUCUACUAAAGCGAAAGCGCUCUGCUGCCCUGAGGUUAAAAUCCCCAAGCAAAGGAGGCAAAGAGACAGUGACGGAGUGACAGCGAGACGACAACAGUGAACGAGGGCAGACAGACAGACGGGUGAAAAACGCAACACCGAUGCGAUGUAGACCAUCAGAUGUACACAGAUGCCAGAAAACGUAUCAUAACAUCACAUCACAUAAGAUUAACACAAGUGCUUUCACUUUGAAGGUACAAAAGUGGCAAGUGUUUAUACUCUGCUCAAUUCUGAUUGGUCAGAAGGUGCUGAUUCAUUUUCUAUAGCAGCAGCGCUGAGGGUAGUGCAUCAUCAUGCCACCAUUUCAUCGAAUAUAUUCCUAUAACAGCAUGACGCCCAAUGAUUUAGUCCUGCAUUAAUUUAGUCCUGGGUUACUGAAUGGAAGGUCGGGGGUUCAAGCCCCAGCACUGCCAGGCUCCGGGUUACUGAUUGGAAGGUCGGGGGUUCAAGCCCCAGCACUGGCAGGCUCUGGGUUACUGAUCGGAAGGUCGGGGGUUCAUGCCCCAGCACUGCCAGGCUCUGGGUUACUGAUCGGAAGGUCGGGGGUUCAUGCCCCAGCACUGCCAGGCUCCGGGUUACUGAUUGGAAGGUCGGGGGUUCAUGCCCCAGCACUGGCAGGCUCUGGGUUACUGAUCGG
ensembl:lncRNA